AGAGUUUGAUCCUGGCUCAGGAUUAACGUUGGUAGUAUGCCUAACACAUGCAAGUCGAGCGGGAAGUGGUAGCAAUACUGCUUCUAGCGGCGAACGGGUGAGUAAUGCUUAUCUACUUGCCGAUUAGUGGGGGACAACCGUGGGAAACCAUGGCUAAUACCGCAUUUGUUAUUUAUAAUGAAAGGGAGUCGCAAGAUUCUCGCUAAUUGAGAGGGAUAAGUCGUAUUAGUUAGUUGGUGGGGUAAUGGCCUACCAAGACAAUGAUGCGUAGCCAGCCUGAGAGGGUGAAUGGCCACAAGGGAACUGAGACACGGUCCCUACUCCUACGGGAGGCAGCAGUGAGGAAUUUUCGGCAAUGGGGGCAACCCUGACCGAGCAAUACUACGUGAAGGAGGAAGGUCUACGGAUUGUAAACUUCUGUUAGCGUGGAAGAAGGGUCGCAAGACUUUGACGGUACACGCAGAGAAAGCCACGACUAACUACGUGCCAGCAGUCGCGGUAAGACGUAGGUGGCGAACGUUAUCCGGAAUUAUUGGGCGUAAAGGGUGCGUAGAUGGUGUGAUAAGUUAUCAGUGGGAAAUCGAGGCUCAACCUCGUGGAAGUUGGUAAUACUAUUAUACUAGAGUGCAGGAGAGGUUAACGGAACUCCAUGUGGAGCGGUAAAAUGCGUAGAUAUAUGGAAGAACAUCAAUAACGGCGAAGGCAGUUAACUAUUCUGUUACUGACAUUGAGGCACGAAAGCGUGGGGAGCAAAACGGAUUAGAUACCCUAGUAGUCC
rnacentral:rRNA from 1 species